rnacentral:rRNA from 1 species
AACGAACGCUGGCGGCAUGCCUAACACAUGCAAGUCGAACGAGACCUUCGGGUCUAGUGGCGCACGGGUGCGUAACGCGUGGGAACCUGCCCUUAGGUUCGGAAUAACUCCCCGAAAGGGGUGCUAAUACCGGAUAAUGUCUUCGGACCAAAGAUUUAUCGCCUUUGGAUGGGCCCGCGUUGGAUUAGCUAGUUGGUAGGGUAAAAGCCUACCAAGGCGACGAUCCAUAGCUGGUCUGAGAGGAUGAUCAGCCACACUGGGACUGAGACACGGCCCAGACUCCUACGGGAGGCAGCAGUGGGGAAUAUUGGACAAGGGGCGAAAGCCUGAUCCAGCAAUGCCGCGUGAGUGAUGAAGGCCUUAGGGUUGUAAAGCUCUUUUACCCGGGAUGAUAAUGACGGUACCGGGAGAAUAAGCUCCGGCUAACUCCGUG